rnacentral:rRNA from 1 species
AUACGUAGGGUGCAAGCGUUAAUCGGAAUUACUGGGCGUAAAGCGUGCGCAGGCGGUUUUGUAGGACAGUGGUGAAAUCCCCGGGCUCAACCUGGGAACUGCCAUUGUGACUGCAAGGCUGGAGUGCGGCAGAGGGGGAUGGAAUUCCGCGUGUAGCAGUGAAAUGCGUAGAUAUGCGGAGGAACACCGAUGGCGAAGGCAAUCCCCUGGGCCUGCACUGACGCUCAUGCACGAAAGCGUGGGGAGCAAACAGGAUUAGAUACCCUGGUAGUCCACGCCCUAAACGAUGUCAACUGGUUGUUGGGUCUUCAUUGACUCAGUAACGAAGCUAACGCGUGAAGUUGACCGCCUGGGGAGUACGGCCGCAAGGUUGAAACUCAAAUGAAUUGACGGGG